AGGACAGAUUUCUUUUAUGAUUCCUACAGCAGAAAAAUGAGAAACGUUUGUUAUUAUUUUUUUUUCGUGUUUAAGGUUUGAAUCCUCAGUGAACCAGGGCAGAAAAGAAUGAUGAAAUCCUUGAGAGUUUUACUGGUGAUCCUGUGGCUUCAGUUAAGCUGGUUUGGAGCCAACAGAAGGAGGUGGAGCAGGAUCCUGGACCACUCAGUGUUCCAGAGGGAGCCAUUGUUUCUCUCAACUGCACUUACAGCAACAGUGCUUUUCAAUACUUCAUGUGGUACAG
rnacentral:lncRNA from 1 species